rnacentral:rRNA from 1 species
AUUGAACGCUGGCGGCAGGCUUAACACAUGCAAGUCGAGCGAGCGGCGGACGGGUGAGUAAUGUCUGGGAAACUGCCUGAUGGAGGGGGAUAACUACUGGAAACGGUAGCUAAUACCGCAUACCAUCAGAUGUGCCCAGAUGGGAUUAGCUCGUAGGUGGGGUACUGGCUCACCUAGGCGACGAUCCCUAGCUGGUCUGAGAGGAUGACAAGCCACAAUGGAACUGAGACACGGUCCAGACUCAUACGGGAGGAAGCAGUGGGGAAUAUGGCACAAGGGGAGCAAGCCGGAUGAAGACAAGACGCGUGUGUGAAGAAGGCCGUCGGGUUGUAAAGCACGUUCAGAGAGGAGGCGUUACUCGCAGAAGAAGCACCGGCUAAAUCCGUGCAAGCAGCCGCGGUAAUAC